AUGCCGUUGGCGGCAUCCACAGCGCGCUUCUUGCUGCUCAGCGUGCUGCUGCUGUCGUCGCCGGCGGUGACGGUGGUGCGGGCGCGGGUGACGGCGCUGAUCGUGUUCGGCGACUCGACGGUGGACGCGGGGAACAACAACGCCGUGCCCACGGCGGUGCGGAGCAACUUCCCGCCCUACGGCCGGGACUUCCCGGGCGGCCGCGCCACGGGCCGGUUCUGCAACGGCCGCGUCGCCACCGACUUCUACUCCGAGGCGUUCGGGCUCCGGCCCUUCGUUCCGGCCUACCUCGACCCGGACUACGGCAUCCAGGACUUCGCCGUCGGCGUCUGCUUCGCGUCCGCCGGCUCCGGCCUCGACGUCGCCACCGCCGGCGUCUUCCAAGUGGACUAUUUCAGAGACUACAAAGCCCGGCUUGCGGAGCACCUCGGCGCGGCGGAGGCUAGGGCGGUGGUCGCCGACGCCGUCUACGCCAUCAGCAUCGGCACCAACGACUUCAUCGAGAACUACUUCGCCCUCACGACGGCCCGCUUCCUGGAGUUCACCGUCGGCGACUACACCGACUUCCUCAUCGGCCUCGCCCGGAGCUUCCUGGUGGAGCUCUACGGCCUCGGCGCGCGCAAGAUCGGCUUCACAGGGCUCGGGGCCAUGGGCUGCCUCCCCAUCGAGCGGGGACGCCGGGUCAUGCUCUGCAUCGAGGAGUACAAUGUCGUUGCGAGGUCGUUCAAUGCCAAGCUCCGAGCCAUGGUCGACGAGCUCACCGGCAGCCUUCCCGGCGCGCAGUUCCGGGUCGCCGAGGUGUACGAUUUCUUCACCGGCAUCCUGCAGAACCCGUCGAGCUACGGAUUCGUGAAGGCGGCCAGGGGUUGUUGUGGCACGGGGUUGUAUGAGAUGGGGUACACAUGCAGCGAGUGGGACGCGCUCACGUGCGCCGACGCAAACCGAUACGUCUUCUGGGACGCCGUGCACCCGACGGAGCGGGCCAACAAGAUCAUCGCCGAGUACCUCAUGAACACAACCUUCAGCCAUUUCUUGUGA
rnacentral:rRNA from 1 species